rnacentral:rRNA from 1 species
UACGUAGGGUGCAAGCGUUAAUCGGAAUUACUGGGCGUAAAGCGUGCGCAGGCGGUUUUGUAAGUCUGUCGUGAAAGCCCCGGGCUCAACCUGGGAAUUGCGAUGGUGACUGCAAGGCUUGAAUCUGGCAGAGGGGGGUAGAAUUCCACGUGUAGCAGUGAAAUGCGUAGAGAUGUGGAGGAACACCGAUGGCGAAGGCAGCCCCCUGGGUCAAGAUUGACGCUCAUGCACGAAAGCGUGGGGAGCAAACAGG